rnacentral:rRNA from 1 species
ACGCUCGACACCUACGGGAGGCAGCAGUGGGGAAUAUUGCACAAUGGGGGAAACCCUGAUGCAGCGACGCCGCGUGGAGGAAGAAGGUCUUCGGAUUGUAAACUCCUGUUGUUGGGGAAAAAGAGGAUGGUACCCAACAAGGAAGUGACGGCUAACUACGUGCGAGCAGCCGCGGUAAUCUGAGCGGGCUGGCAAGGC